rnacentral:ncRNA from 4 species
AAAAAAAAAAAAAAAAAAAAAAAAAAAAA